rnacentral:rRNA from 1 species
AAUGAACGCUGGCGGUAGGCCUAACACAUGCAAGUCGAACGGCAGCACAGUAAGAGCUUGCUCUUACGGGUGGCGAGUGGCGGACGGGUGAGGAAUACAUCGGAAUCUACUUUUUCGUGGGGGAUAACGUAGGGAAACUUACGCUAAUACCGCAUACGACCUACGGGUGAAAGCAGGGGAUCUUCGGAGCUUGCGCGGUUGAAUGAGCCGAUGUCGGAUUAGCUAGUUGGCGGGGUAAAGGCCCACCAAGGCGGCGAUACGUAGCUGGACUGAGAGGAUGAUCAGCCACACUGGAACGGAAACACGGUCCAGACUCCUACGGGAGGCAGCAGUGGGGAAUAUUGGACAAUGGGCGCAAGCCUGAUCCAGCCAUACCGCGUGGGUUAAGAAGGCCUUCCGGUUGUAAAGCCCUUUUGUUGGGAAAGAAAAGCAGCAGGUUAAUACCCCGCUGUUCUGACGGUACCCAAAGAAUAAGCACCGGCUAACUUCGUG